rnacentral:rRNA from 1 species
UUGGGAAUCUUGCGCAAUGGGCGAAAGCCUGACGCAGCGACGCCGCGUGCGGGAUGACAGUCUUCGGAUUGUAAACCGCUUUUCCCAGGGACGAUAAUGACGGUACCUGGGGAAUCAGCCCCGGCUAACUCCGUGCCAGCAGCCGCGGUAAGACGGAGGGGGCUAGCGUUGUCCGGAAUUACUGGGCGUAAAGCGCAUGUAGGCGGUCGCGUACGGCGGUGGUGAAAGCUCCCGGCUCAACUGGGAGAGGCCCAUCGCAACGGCGUGACUCGAGGGUGGUAGAGGUCUAUGGAAUUCCUGGUGUAGCGGUGAAAUGCGUAGAGAUCAGGAGGAACACCCGUGGCGAAGGCGGUAGGCUGGGCCACACCUGACGCUGAGAUGCGAAAGCGCGGGGAGCGAACGGG